CAGAUUAUACUGUGCAGCUGUUUUAUUGACGCAGAAUACUAUUCGAUUUGUUUGAGUUUCAACACAUCUUCCAGGAAAUCUCCUGGAGUUCAAUUGAAGUGCAGUAAAUCCCAGUGGCAAAUGAUUGAUUUGAGUGCUGGGUUGUUGUAUGGUUUUUGUAUUGCUGCUGUGUAUUGGCUUAUGGUUAAUUGUUGACUAGCUUCCUUUUAAUUCAGCGUUGACUGCUUCAAUUCAACUGUUAUACAGCUGUAUACAGCAGAAAGCAAAGAACUGAAGCUUAAUGUUAGUUGAAAGCAUCUAACUAUACAUUAGAUCUUGUCUUGUAUUGAAUAAAACUACCCAAGUAACAAAGACAGCUGAAUAACAGCUUAUUUAGCUCAAAUUUUAAAAAUCAAGCUUAAGCGGUAUUUAUUUAACCAUAGUUCAUAAAUGAUGUUUGCUAUGUAGUCGCAUAUACGCAGAUGCGUCAGAUAUUAGCUUGUGAAUGCUGACUUUCUCAAUAAUCGACUAUGCGAACAUGCUGCCCAUAUUCGCAUAGAUGACGUAAGCGCCACUAUAGUUUUCAACACAGUUUUGAAAUUUUAAUAAUGAAUGAAAAACUUAGGAUUUUUUUUCACGUCUAUAUCUAGAUAAUGAUUAGAUCUUGUGCUCUAUUGAAUAGAACUGGCCACAAUUAUGCACGUGUGAUAGAAAUUAGCUUGUGAAUGCUGACAUUGUCAAUGGUGGUUAUGUUAAUCAACGAAAAUAUCGAGAAGGAAUCUCCAGAGAGCACCUGCGAAGGAAUUCCGGGAGGAAUCUCCAAAUAAAUUACAAGCACAUUUCUCAAAGAGGAAACCCCGAAGGAAUUCUAAGAGGCGUCCCCAUAGGAAGUCUAGGUAGAAUCUCCAAAGAAAUUUAAUAAGGAAUCCUCGAAGGAACUCUAAGAAGAAUCUUCGAAUACUAGGAGGAAUUUCCGAAGGAAUUCCAAGAGAAAUCACCGAAGAAAUUCAAGUAAGAAAUCUCGAAGGAAUUCCAUUGGGAAUUUUUGAAAGAUCAUUAUUAUCUUUAUUAAAGAGAUUUGCAGCCCUGGGCUGGCUCAUCUCUGAAAUUAGCAUUUGUGAAAGAAUUUCAGGAAGAAUCUCCGAAAGAAAUCUAAGAGAAAUCACCAAAGAAAUUUCAGGAGGAAAUCCUGAAGGAAUUCCAGGAGGAAUCCCCGAAAAAAUUCCUGGAGGAUUUGAUGAAGGAAGUCCAGGAGAAAUCCCCAAAGAAAUUCCAGAUUUUUUUAAAGGAUCUUUUAAAGGGAUUCAAUCCUCAAAGUAUUUCUAUGAUGUACCAUCGAAAAAUAUCCAGUAGGAAUCCUCGUAGGAAUUCCAUGAGAAACCCCUGAAAUAAUUCUAGAAGGAGUUCCCGCAGGAAUUCCAAGAGGAAUACCCGAAAGAUUUCCAGGAGAAAUCUCCGAAGAAAUUUGAAGAGGAAUUCUCGUAGAAAUUUCAGGAGGAAUUCCCGACGGAAUAUCUGGAGUAGAAAUUUCAGGAGAAAUCCCUGAAGGAAGUCCAGCAUGAAGAAUUCCUGAAGGAAUUCCUAGAGAAAUCCCCGAAGAAAUAACAGGAGAAAUCCCAGCAGGAAUCCCAGGGGGGCCCCUAAAGGCAUUCAGGGAGGAAUCUCUGAAGGAGUUCCAAGCGAAAUACUCGAAGGAUUUUUAAGAGGAAUCUCUAGUAAAAUUCCAGAAUGAAUUCUAGGAGACACACAGUGGUCCAGAUUUGAAAAUACCUGGCAAAAAUUGCCAAAUCAUAGUAGUCUGCUAGUUUUAGCAUAUAUGAAUGUAUUGGAACAUGAUUUAGCGCUUAAUUUCAUUUUAAAGUCAUUUUCAUUUUUUGUCGAUUUCUUCGAACAAAACCCGAACAAAAUUGACGUUUUUCAUACAAUUUUACUAUACGCAUUAGACCUGUCCAGCUUUUCAAAAAUGGUCUCUGAUUCUCAAGUCCACCCCCAUAUUUUGAUUGGCAUCCUAAAAGAAGUAACUGGUCAAAAUUUCAGCCAAAUCCAUUGAAAUUAAGAGGUGCAUCAAAUCAAUUUUGUGUUUUUAGACUAUUUUUGAACUCCAAAAAAUCAUAACUACACUAAAACAUGUCAAAACUUAAUUCUUUCGGCAGAAAUUGAAAGCUAUACUUGUUUGCUACAACUUCUCCGAACAACGUGUGCCAAUAGCAUUGAAGGAAACAUGUGUAAUUAUCACAUUUGUAAUCAGAAAAACCUUCAAAAGUUGAUUUUUUGAUAGAUUUCGUUCUGAAACACCCUAAUAUACGUAAUAAGUUGGAUUUUUCAAAACGGCAUUAUAUUCUCCAAAGUUUUUUGGUUAUUUGCUUCUCUGGCACCAAUGCUGUAGGAGUUGAGCAAAAAUUACUAAAAUUCGUGAAAGUCAAAUGUGGCCUAAAAACUAGCUUUUUGGAGGCAAUCACGUUGUGGCGCGAAAUUGUACUGAACGUAGUAGCUUUGCUUCCUAGUAGUUUGCCUUGGCUACCCCCUACCACGGGUGAUAACAAACAAGCGCGAUGACAGGUGUUGGCUAUCAUAUCAGUGCUGACGCGAUGCCACUUUUUGCGCGCCAAAGCGUGGUUGCACCCGAAAAGCUAGUUUUUAGGCCACAUUUGGCUUUCACGAAUUUUAGUAAUUUUUGCUCAACUUCUACAGCAUUGGUGCCAGAGAAGCAAAUAACCAAAAAACAUUGGAGAAUAUGAUGCCGUUUUGAAAAAUCCAACUUAUUACGUAUAUUAGGGUGUUUCAGAACGAAAUCUAUCAAAAAAUCAACUUUUUAAGGUUUUUCUGAUAACAAAUGUGAUAAUUACAAAUGUUUCCUUCAAUUCUAUUGGCACACGUUGUUCGGAGAAGUUGUAGCAAACAAGUAUAGAUUUCAAUUUCUGCCGAAAGAAUUAAGUUUUGACAUGUUUUAGUGUAGUUAUAAUUUUUUGAAUUUCAAAAAUAGUCUAAAAACACAAAAUUGAUUUGAUGCACCUCCUAAUUUUAAUGGAUUUGGCUGAAAUUUUGACCAGUUACUUCUUUUAGGAUGCCAAUCAAAAUAUGGGGGUGGACUUGAGAAUCAGAGAACAUUUUUGAAAAGCUGGGCAGGCCUAAUACACAUAUCAUCAUGGCGCUAUUGUUUUGGCAGCUCUUGGCAGUUGCAUUUUUCUUUAACGGAUUCUGCAUACAUAAACGAGCAUUUGAACGGAAUCUCUCCGCGGAGAGUAGCGGGGAGCGAUUUGUAAGACACUUUGAAGUCGAACUGUAAGAAUUUCUCGUACUAAUGACAUGAAAUUUCGAAGCCAAAAGUGUCAUUUUGAUCUCUUGCUCCAUUGCAGAUGUCUGAUAUACACAAGAACUUACAAAUAAACUUUUGAAAGCAAUUGUAUUACUUAUAUCAACAGACGUUUGUAGUGGUUGAACUUGUUUGUGUUUUUUAUCAAAAGUUCAGCACUUUUUUCAUCAGCAGCUAUUCAGUGCUGUAACAAGAUACAAAAUCAAUAUUUCCAAAUUUUGAAAAUGCCAGAUAGUGCUCCUGGUAUUAUGGAUGAAUGCUCAAUAUACUGUAUCCCAUAUAAGACAUGUUCAAAAAUUGAGUUUCUACCAGCUUUUCUCAAAAUUGGACCUCUGUGAGACAUCAUCGAAGGAAGCCCAAGACGAAUCCCUAAAUGAAGUGCAGACGAAAUCCCUGGAGGAAUUCCAUGAGAAAUCCAGGUGGAAUCUCUGAAGGAGUUCUAAAAGGAAUCAUCAAAUAAAGUUGACGGAAUAUUAGAAGAAAUCCCCGAAAGAAUUUCAGGAGGAAUCCUCGAAGCAAGUCUAGGGGGAAACCCCGAAUGAAUAUCUAGGAAAAAUCUCCGGAGGAAUUCCAAGAGGAAUCUCCGAAAGAAUUCCAGGAAAAAAGCCAGAAGGAAUACUAGAAGGAAGUCCAGGGGAACCCCUGAAAGAAGUCUAGGAGGCUUCCCCGAAGAAAUUACUGGAGAAAUCCUUGCAGGGGUUCCAAAAAAAAUGCUUAAAGGAACUCCGGUAUGAAUAUCCAAAGGAUUUCCAGGCAUAAUUUCUUGAAGGAUUUUAAGCGGAUCCUCUGGGAAGGGGGAAGGAUUUGCAGGAGGUAUUCUCUAAAGAAUUCCUGAAAAUCCUGAACGAAUCUCUGAUGGAACUCUUGGAAAGAACAUUUUUUGUUACGAAGGAACAAAAUCAAACACAGUUCUUGAGGACAAUUUGGCUGAUUGAGGACAAGCAUAUCCUUUUUCCUGGUACUCAUUGAUUUGUCGGUGAAUGUUUUCCUUAAAGAGUGGGUCCCGAGCCUUUCGCCUCUCAAGGCAUUCCAAUCACCGCAGGGCCAUGGGGUAGCUGUCCGGAAGUUCUACAAAAACGGAUCUCCACAGCAGACUAGUUUCGAACCGGUCACCCAAUCGACGGGUCGUUUCCUUCAUGGUUCGUCUAGCUCUCGCUUCGUCAUUGGACUCUAAUGUUCCCUAGUAGCCGAAUUUCUAAUCCAGAAUCCAGAAGCAAUCCAUGCAGGAACUCCGAGACUAAUUUCUUAACACACCCUGUAGGAAUUCCUGAAGAAACUUCUCACGGGAUUCCUAAUGGAUCUCCAGGUGGCGUUUAUGAAUCCUCCUGAAAGAAUCUUUAAAGGGACUUGUGGAAGGAUACCUGAACGAACUCCAGGUGAAAUAGCCUUGGGAACUUCUGAAGGAAUUCCUAAUGAACACAUCGAGGCAUCCCUGAAUCCUCAUGGAGCUAUUAGAGAGAUCCCUGAGCGAACUCCUGGAGAGAUCACCGAAGGAACUUCUGGAGCAAUCCUUAAAAGAACUCCUGAACGAAUCUCUGAAAAUUUUUCUUGAGGCAUCCUGAAGAAAUUCCAAGCGGAAUCCCCCGAAGAAAUUUCAAGGAGGGAUUCUUUCACAAAUUCCGGGAGUUUCUUAUGGAUGUCCUGGAGGAAUCUCUAAGGAAACUCCUGGACUAGUUCCUGUAAGAAUUCUUGAAGGAAUUUCUGAAAGAAUCCAUGAAGGAACUCUCAGGCUAAUCUCUGAAGGACCUCACAUGACAAUCCCUGAAGGAUCUUCUAGAUGUAUCUCUGAUGUAUCUCUUGGAAUUUUCCUAAAAGAUUUUUUGAAGGUACUCCUCUCGAGAUCUUCCUGAUAGAUCUUCUGAAAAAAAAAAUCAUCCUGGAGGCAUCCCUGAAUAAUUUUCUGGAGGAAUCCCAGGUGGAUCUCCUGGAGGCAUCACUGAAUCCUUCUUUUUUUCUGAAUCUCUGAAGAAACUUGGGGAGAGAUGUGAAUGUGUGUUCUAAGAGUUAAUACCUCGGUCGGCGUCGGCGUGGAAACAUCCGCUUCACAGUUUGUGUUCGAGAAAGAAUUGUACAGGUAAAAUAUUUGUUUAUCUUGGGAUAAGGGUCAAACCCCUUGAUUCCUUAUUCCUACUCCAACGACCACGACAUCUGUGCAACGAUGCAUUUCAGCAUCAUCUGAUUGCAGCAGUAGAAGGAAGCACAUGUGAGAGAAUCAUGCGAUGACGACAUUUGCUACUGAGAGAAGCCGAACAUAGAGCGCCGCCGUCCGUCCGGAGAGAAUCAAAAAGCUACGAGAAGACAUGCCGCCGCUGCUGCUGCUACUACUGCUUGGGCGAUGAUGUACAUGUUGUUGUUGCUGCUGCUGUUUCGUGGUGGUGGGUAACACACUUGGUGCCACUCCAAGCUCGGUCGGAAUCGCAGCCAAACAGAAACAUCCGAGACCUAAACUAGAGCUGGCCGCCGGAGAGCUCCACCGCCGAGCAUAAAGGGAUUAGUCACAAACCAACGCGUCCGGGCGAAGUUGCGAAGAGUCAAAUCGGUCUGUCGGUCAUCGCGCGCUAAUUUGAAAUCGCCCCCGCGCGUGUCGCGUGCUGUGAAGACAUAUAGAUCAUUGCCGGUCGGUAACGUCGUGGUCGGUGCCCAUAUAGGGACUACUCGGGCGGAGGACCUUAAAGGUUGGAACCGCGCGCGCCAAACUAAGAAAGGUGACUACACAGUGUGUGCGUCUCUGUGGUGUAUACGAAAACAAUAACGAAUCAACGAAAGAACGGAGCCCAGUCAGUCAGUGGGAAGGUGUUUUUCUACGGCAUUUUGUGUGUGGGGGUGGUUCAGUUAACGAACGUGCGCGCCUGGAAGGUGUCGAGCGCCAUCAGGCUAAUCGGUUGAUCUGCUGCCGCCUCAUCGUCGAAAGAGGAUUAAGUGAUAAGCGAAGAAGAUUUGCGUCGUCCUUUCGAUAUCUGUCCAAUAGUGCAUGAGUGCAAUGUACGAGAAUGUGCCUGGUUUGUGAUGUGCUAAUUUUCUAAUUCUGAGUGUGUCAACCCUUCCUCCGGUGCUACUAAAUAUGGCCAAGUGGAUAGAGCAAUAGCGUAAGCGCAGCGAGAUUAUUAAUAAUUUUAGACUGGGAGAAUUCGGAGUGCGCUGCGGAAGAAGGUUGAAACUAGGAGCGAGAAUUCAGAGAAGUAAUUGUCCAGAUUUUAUCAUCUCAUUUCCAUACACG